CGGCUACGAGGUUACUGCCGCCACUGCCAUCGCAAUCGUCGCCGGCCCAGCUGUCAUCGCAAUCGUUGUCGCUGUCGCCAUCACCGCAAUCGUCGCCACCGCUGCCGCCCCCCUCAAAACCCGGAUGCUUCAUUCUAUAAAGAAGAGACUAUCCUCAAGUACUGGAAUGCUUGGACAGCAACAUCCUCAGGUACUGGAAUGCUACAGGAAUUGCCAUCUGAAGCUAGUCCAGAUGGUGUGUGUGUGUGUGGGGGGAUUAAUUAAGAGAUAAUGAUAGAUUGUGUGUUUUGUUAGUCCUAAUCUAUGAAACAAAAAGAAUCCAAUAAAUAAAUAAAUUAUAUGUGUGCGAUUCUAAUUUGCCCAAGUACCGGCUCUUAAAUUAAUUUGGUAAAUUGAAUGUUGAGAGUU